rnacentral:misc_RNA from 1 species
GAUGAAGAACGUAGCGAAAUGCGAUAAGUAAUGUGAAUUGCAGAAUUCAGUGAAUCAUCGAAUCUUUGAACGCACCUUGCGCUCUUUGGUAUUCCGAAGAGCAUGCCUGUUUGAGUGUCAUGAAAAUAUUAACCUUGACUUGGGUUUUGUGCUCUAGUCUCGGCUUGGAAUUGGGUGCUUGCCGCUUUUACGAGCGGCUCACCUUAAAUGUAUUAGCUGGAUCUGUCUUUGAGACUUGGUUUGACUUGGCGUAAUAAGUAUUUCGCUAAGGACAUUCUUCGGAGUGGCCUCGUUUCUAGGACGCUUGUCCGCUUUCCAAUACAAGUUCCACCUCGUGGACAUGACUUUUUAUUAUCUGGCCUCAAAUCAGGUAGGACUACCCGCUGAACUUAAGCAUAUCAAUAAGCGGAGGA